AACAUCUUUUAGCGCGUGACGUCACGUUUGGGCAUUAAACAAUUUAUAAUAUCGGUUUAGGUUGAAUGUAUUUAACAUUUUUAAAGUUUUAUUAUUUGUUAUGUAUAUUAUUUUGUUUAAAUUUUGAUUUUUAAAUAGAAUAUAGAUAUAUAAAGAUCAUGAUUUUAUCUUGUCUUGCAUAUAAUUGCACUCAAAGAUAUAUUAAAAGGGUUUCUUUUCAUGUUUUUCUGAAAGAUAUGGAAUUGAGGAGAAAAUGGAUACAAGUUAUGUGGAGCGAGGUUUUACUCCUAGUAAACUGUCUAAACGUUGUGGUAAAUAUUUCACUGGUAUGAAAAAAGUUUUUCGAGUUCACAAAAGAAACAAAAAAAAGAUGCAAUUUCUUCUGUAUUUAAUUUCCCAACACUUUUAUUAACAAGUAUUUAUUCUAGAAAACUACCAAAAAAUAUAGACAAAGAAUUAUUUCAAAUAUUACCACCAGCGAAUCAAAUACAGGAGUUAUGUCUGAGUCUACAAAACAGUUAUUUUGUCGGAUUUUACAAGAAAAGUUAAAAAGCAUUACCCACCAGAAUUAUGAAGCUUUGCUACAACACAGAGUUUUUAGUCCUUGGCCUUGACCUUGGUCUUAAAACUGUUGGUCUUGGUCUUGGCCUUGGUCUUCAAAAAAAGUACAUAAAGUUGAGGAAUUAAAAGAUUUCAUUCUUUAUUUUUAUGUAUUUUUGUUUUCGGUUUCAUACAUAUCUACAAGUAUGUUUUUUAUUGACUUCAUAGAAUUUUGGGCAUAACCCUGGUUUAUUUUUACAACAUGUGGUUUAUUGUCACAGGAAUUGUUACCUACAGUUUUAUUAAUAAUUGACCUUAACGUUAGACAAAAAUUCAAGUCUUUGGGCUUGAAAAUGUUUUUAUUCUUGGC